CCGUUUUCUUUCCAACAGGACCAGAGCUUCUAGGCCGACGCGCAUGACUUUAAUUACAGCAAAGACAUCUGUUGGAAUAUUUCCCCGGCAGGUGCUCCGGGUUCUUCUGAGCUCAUCGAAUCCCCCCUUCAGCUGCUAUCUUGGGAGACAAAGUCUGUCUCAUAGGCGGUUUUUCUUCUUGAUGCUUCAGUAAAGAAGACUUCUUCCAUUUAAAAGAAAAAAAAAAUAGAAACCUAAAGCCACUCUUCCCUUCCUUUAACAAGAAGACCAGCGUGAGAGGCAGCCAGUGAGGAGCGGCUCUCUUGUUUGUGUCUCAUUGGUUCCACGGUUAUUUCCAGGAGCAGGGUACCUGUGAGGAGGCAGAAGGACAUUUGCCAUCCCGGACCCGAUGACCAGAGGGAGCUGUCAAGCUGG